rnacentral:rRNA from 1 species
UUCUAUGACCAUACCACUCUGGACAUGCCUGAUAUCAUCUGAUUUUAGAAACUAAGCAGGGUUGGGUCUGGUUAGUAUUUGGGUGGAGGAUGACCUAGGAAUUACCGAGUAGCAUAGGCA